CUCAAACUGUAGCUCCUCUUAACCACUAUCUGUCCCAAAACUUAAACUGUAGCUCCUCUUAACCACUAUCUGUCCCAAAACUUAAACUGUAGCUCCUCUUAACCACUAUCUGUCCCAAAACUUAAACUGUAGCUCCUCUUAAACACUAUCUGUCCCAAAACUCAAACUGUAGCUCCUCUUAAACACUAUCUGUCCCAAAACUUAAACUGUAGCUCCUCUUAACCACUAUCUGUCCCAAAACUCAAACUGUAGCUCCUCUUAACCACUAUCUGUCCCAAAACUCAAACUGUAGCUCCUCUUAACCACUAUCUGUCCCAAAACUCAAACUGUAGCUCUUCUUAAACACUAUCUGUCCCAAAACUCAAACUGUAGCUCCUCUUAAACACUAUCUGUCCCAAAACUCAAACUGUAACUAUCUGUCCCUUAACUAAAACUGUAGCUCCUCUUAAACACUAUCUGUCCCUUAACUAAAACUGUAGCUCCUCUUAAACACUAUCUGUCCCAAAACUAAAACUGUAGCUCCUCUUAACCACUAUCUGUCCCAAAACUCAAACUGUAACAUCUGUCCCUUAACUAAAACUGUAGCUCCUCUUAACCACUAUCUGUCCCAAAACUCAAACUGUAAUCAUCUGUCCCUUAACUAAAACUGUAGCUCCUCUUAACCACUGUCUGUCCCAAAACUAAAACUGUAGCUCCUUUUAACCACUAUCUGUCCCAAAACUGUAACUAUCUGUCCCAAACUAAAACUGUAGCUCCUCUUAAACACUAUCUGUCCCAAAACUAAAACUGUAGUUCCUCUUAACCACUAUCUGUCCCAAAACUCAAACUGUAACAAUCUGUCCCAAACUUAAAACUGGUGGUUCGACUUGGGAGUAGUUUCUGUUUGGACUAUCUGAAUGGUUGGCAAUGUUUUGAUUUUCGAGAUUGGAGGGUCAGGAAGAGCCAAAAAGUUAAUCUCAGCAACCAAAAACAUUUGCGACACACUCUUGGCUGUCUGUGUUGAGGUGCAGUACACAGAUUGGACCGCUAGAUGGGGGUGUUGUAUCGGCGGUAGUGAGUGGUUUACCCCUCUGAGAUUCUCUGCUAUUGGCUAGGCAAAGGCUACAGCUAAUAACGUUUACAGAAGAAACUUGUGGGCAGCGCUAGCUCCGAGCUAGUGUAGCAUGAUGCUAACGCUACAUGAUAUAAUAGCUAAAAUGCUAAUCCCCUAAUCUGCAGCUGGGGGAUGGAUGGAUGGAUGGACGAACAGAGAGCGUUAAUGAAAGAGGGAUGAUGUGGAAAUGACAUCACAGACAGAGCAAGCUGUCAUUGGUCAGGAUGAGUUAUUGACCUCUGACCCCUGUAGUCGUCCAAUUGACAUCCUGCGCUGGUGUGGGGGCAGGGUCAGCCCAUAUGUGGACUAUAAUCAACUCUGUGUGAUGCACUGCACUGCUCCGGACGUGGCUUUCUAGGAACCACACAAAACACACAGACAAGUACAGUACAUUCUCAGACUCUGUCUCACUCUGUGUGUGUGUCUCUCUCUCUGUGUGUGUCUCUCUCUCUGUGUGUGUCUCUCUCUCUCUCUGUGUGUAUCUCUCUCUCUCUGUGUGUCUCUCUCUCCGUGUGUCUCUCUCUCUCCGUGUGUCUCUCUCGCUGUGUCUCUCUCUCUCUCUGUGUCUCUCUCUCUCUCCGUGUGUCUCUCUCUCUGUGUCUCUCUCUCUCUCUGUGUGUGUGUCUCUCUCUCUCUUUCUCUGUCUCUCUCUCUCUCUCUCUGUGUGUUGCUGUCUGUCUGUCUCUCUCUCUCUCUCUCUCUCUGUCUCUCUCUCUCUCUCUCUCUCUCUCUCUCUGUGUCUCUGUGUCUCUCUCUGUGUCUCUCUCUCUGUGUCUCUCUCUCUGUGUCUCUCUCUCUCUGUCUCUCUCUCUCUCUCUCUGUGUGUCUCUCUCUCUCUCUCUCUCUGUUGGUUUAGGGCCAGUCUAGUUCCCUGUAGUAUUGGUUAAGGCUAUGUCUCAAAUGGCAGCCUAUUCCCUUUAUAGUGCACUACAUUUGACCAGAUCCCUAUGUGCCCUGGAUAAAAGUAGUGCACUAUGUAGGGUUCUACUUGGGAUGCUGAUUAAGUCAAUAAGUACCUAAAAAUAAUCCUCCUCCCCCCUCCUGUUCAGUUGCCAUUAGAGAGAUGGAUUAGGAGACCAUAUACAGAUUCUAUAUUAUUAUUAUUUAUUUUUUUAAAUCGUGUGUGUGUGUGUGUGUGUGUGUGUGUGUGUGUGUUAAUCCCCGGGGUUGACGGCUGCUUUUUGGUCUCUAAGCUGUUCUCAUCUCUACUAUCUCUGCUACAGUGAAGCUCACAGCCAACGAGAGAGAGGCAGAGAGUGUUUUCCCCUCUUCUCUUUCCCUCUCUGUCCUUUCCUCUAAUCCCCCCCCUCCCCAGUCUCUCUCCCUCCUCUCUAUUUUUCUCUCGGUGACAGGUCUCUCCCUCCUCUCUAUUUUUCUCUAGGUGCCAGGUCUCUCUCUCCUUUUCUCUCGGUGCCAGGUCUCUCCCUCCUCUCUUUUUCUCUAGGUGCCAGGUCUCUCCCUCCUCUCUCUUUUUCUCUCGGUGACAGGUCUCUCCCUCCUCUCUCUUUUUAUCUUGGUGACAGGUCUCUCUCUCCUCUCUUGCACUAUAUAGAGAAUAGGGCUCUGGUCUAAAGUAGUGCACUAUAUAGAGAAUAGGGCUCUGGUCUAAAGUAGUGCACUAUAUAGAGAAUAGGGCUCUGGUCUAAAGUAGUGCACUAUAUAGAGAAUAGGGCUCUGGUCUAAAGUAGUGCACUAUAUAGAGAAUAGGGCUCUGGUCUAAAGUAGUGCCACUAUAUAGAGAAUAGGGCUCUGGUCUAAAGUAGUGCACUAUAUAGAGAAUAGGGCUCUGGUCUAAAGUAGUGCACUAUAUAGAGAAUAGGGCUCUGGUCUAAAGUAGUGCACUAUAUAGAGAAUAGGGCUCUGGUCUAAAGUAGUGCACUAUAUAGAGAAUAGGGCUCUGGUCUAAAGUAGUGCACUAUAUAGGGAAUAGGGCUCUGGUCUAAAGUAGUGCACUAUAUAGAGAAUAGGGCUCUGGUCUAAAGUAGUGCACUAUAUAGGGAAUAGGGCUCUGGUCUAAAGUAGUGCACUAUAUAG
ensembl:lncRNA